rnacentral:rRNA from 1 species
GUCGAACGAUGAUGCCCACUUGUGGGUGGAUUAGUGGCGAACGGGUGAGUAACACGUGAGUAACCUGCCCUUGACUCUGGGAUAAGCCUGGGAAACCGGGUCUAAUACUGGAUACGACCUUCUGGCGCAUGCCAUGUUGGUGGAAAGCUUUUGUGGUUUUGGAUGGACUCGCGGCCUAUCAGCUUGUUGGUGGGGUAAUGGCCUACCAAGGCGACGACGGGUAGCCGGCCUGAGAGGGUGACCGGCCACACUGGGACUGAGACACGGCCCAGACUCCUACGGGAGGCAGCAGUGGGGAAUAUUGCACAAUGGGCGCAAGCCUGAUGCAGCGACGCCGCGUGAGGGAUGAAGGCUUUCGGGUUGUAAACCUCUUUCAGUAGGGAAGAAGCCGCUCCUUCGGGGGUGGUGACGGUACCUGCAGAAGAAGCGCCGGCUAACUACGUGCCAGCAGCCGCGGUAAUACGUAGGGCGCAAGCGUUAUCCGGAAUUAUUGGGCGUAAAGAGCUCGUAGGCGGUUUGUCGCGUCUGCCGUGAAAGUCCGGGGCUUAACUCCGGAUCUGCGGUGGGUACGGGCAGACUAGAGUGCAGUAGGGGAGACUGGAAUUCCUGGUGUAGCGGUGAAAUGCGCAGAUAUCAGGAGGAACACCGAUGGCGAAGGCAGGUCUCUGGGCUGUAACUGACGCUGAGGAGCGAAAGCAUGGGGAGCGAACAGGAUUAGAUACCCUGGUAGUCCAUGCCGUAAACGUUGGGCACUAGGUGUGGGGGACAUUCCACGUUUUCCGCGCCGUAGCUAACGCAUUAAGUGCCCCGCCUGGGGAGUACGGCCGCAAGGCUAAAACUCAAAGGAAUUGACGGGGGCCCGCACAAGCGGCGGAGCAUGCGGAUUAAUUCGAUGCAACGCGAAGAACCUUACCAAGGCUUU